rnacentral:rRNA from 1 species
AACGAACGCUGGCGGCAGGCCUAACACAUGCAAGUCGAGCGAGAUCUUCGGGUCUAGCUGCGGACGGGGGAGUAACGCGUGGUAAGAUGCCUCUUGGUACGGAAUAGCCUCGUGAAACUGGGAGUAAUACCGUAUGUGCCCUUUGGGGGAAAGAUUUAUCGCGAAGAGAUUAGCCCGCGUUGGAUUAGGUAGUUGGUGGGGUAAUGGCCUACCAAGCAGAGGAUGCAUAGCUGGUUUGAGAGGAGGCUAAGCCACAAUGGGACUGCGACCCGGCCCAGACUCCUACGGGAGGGAGCAGUGGGGAAUAUUAGACAAUGGGGGCAAACGUGAUCUCGCCAUGUCGGGUGAGUGAUGAAGGCCUUAGGGUUGUAAAGCUCUUUGAGAUGGGAAGAUAAUGACGGUAACAGCAGAAGAAGCCCCGGCUAACUCCGUG